AACGCGAAGAACCUUACCUGGGCUCGAAAUGUAGUGGAAUCCGGUGGAAACAUCGGCGCCCAGCAAUGGGCCGCUAUAUAGGUGCUGCAUGGCUGUCGUCAGCUCGUGUCGUGAGAUGUUGGGUUAAGUCCCGCAACGAGCGCAACCCUUGUUACCAGUUGCUACCAUUUAGUUGAGCACUCUGGUGAGACCGCCUCGGAUAACGGGGAGGAAGGCGGGGAUGACGUCAAGUCCUCAUGGCCUUUAUGUCCAGGGCUACACACGUGCUACAAUGGGCGGGACAGAGGGGGCCGAGGCAGCAAUGCCAAGGCAAUCCCAAAACCCGUCCUCAGUUCGGAUUGUCGUCUGCAACUCGACGGCAUGAAGCUGGAAUCGCUAGUAAUCGUGGAUCAGCAUCGCCACGGUGAAUACGUUCCCGGGCCUUGUACACACCGAUACUC
rnacentral:rRNA from 1 species